GAGAAAUUAGUUAAUUAAUAACACCACCUUGUCAAGAUGUAAUUAUGCGCUAAACCCUCAUAUUUCUCU
rnacentral:tRNA from 1 species